rnacentral:rRNA from 1 species
GAUGAACGCUGGCGGCGUGCCUAAUACAUGCAAGUCGAGCGAAUGGAUUAAGAGCUUGCUCUUAUGAAGUUAGCGGCGGACGGGUGAGUAACACGUGGGUAACCUGCCCAUAAGACUGGGAUAACUCCGGGAAACCGGGGCUAAUACCGGAUAACAUUUUGAACCGCAUGGUUCGAAAUUGAAAGGCGGCUUCGGCUGUCACUUAUGAAUGGACCCGCGUCGCAUUAGCUAGUUGGUGAGGUAACGGCUCACCAAGGCAACGAUGCGUAGCCGACCUGAGAGGGUGAUCGGCCACACUGGGACUGAGACACGGCCCAGACUCCUACGGGAGGCAGCAGUAGGGAAUCUUCCGCAAUGGACGAAAGUCUGACGGAGCAACGCCGCGUGAGUGAUGAAGGCUUUCGGGUCGUAAAACUCUGUUGUUAGGGAAGGACAAGUGCUAGUUGAAUAAGCUGGCACCUUGACGGUACCUAACCAGAAAGCCACGGCUAACUACGCGCCAGCCGCCGCCGUAA